CCUGACAUGAGGAAAAAGACUUUAUUGAAGACUACAAUGAGGAAAAACUAUCAGACAGCAGACGGCUGCAUUCAAGGCUACAGGAGGAGCCCUACGAGGACGAGCCGGUCCACCUGAUGGCGGCCAGUCGCUGCGGUUCAAAGCCAACACCGACUACAUGGACUUCUACUGGACCACACGGAGGCCUUCAAACCGGACCAACAAGUUCAGCGACUCCCCGACUCGUGGGUCUGAGGACGCCGCCGAGCCUCGGCCCAGCCGGCCUCCUGUCUGUGGGUGUUUGAGUGCUGAGAGGUUUGUGGAUGCAUGUGAACGUUCUGUGUUGAAACAGCAGCUUUGGACUCACUAACGCUGGGAAAAACCAAGAGCUCCUUUAUUUGUGACUUCCACUAAAAAAACUGAUGAAAAUAAGUUUGCCAGGGUUCUGACUGAUAACAGAUUAUUAAAUAAUGAAAAUAAUCAUUUAAAUAUUCCUUUAAACAAUCCUUUUAGGUCUACAUUUCCUUUACACUGAAUUCUUGGUAUAUGUAACAAGUAUUUUGGGUGGAAUAUACCAUUAAGCCGACUGUUCAAGGGUUUUUCUAGGGAUAUACCAUUAAACCAACCUUUUAGGUAAAUGUUCCAGGAUGUUGGGUAGAAUAUACCAUCAGAUAAACCUUUUAGGUCUACGUUGGAAGAUUUUAGAGUAGAAUAUUACUCCAAACCAUCCUUUAGGUCUACAUUUAAGGUGGAAUACUCCUUUACACCAAGAUUUUUUGGUCUAGGAUUUUGGAUGGAAUACUCGGUUAAACCAACAUUUUAGCUGCAUGUCCAAGGAUUUUUGGUGGAACGUUCCUUUAAGGUGGAUGUUUGAGGACCUUGUAGGUGGAAUACUUCCCGAAACCAACCUUUUAGGUCAACAUUCAAAGAUUUAAGGUGAAAUAUUCCUUUAAAUCAACCUAAAUUUCAUGUUUUGAUCAUUAUCAAGUGAGAAACCUCAAUGUAGACUCCUCAUAAUGACGUUUGAGAUUUAUGCUGCUGUUAUUUGUUUAGUCAAGACUAAAUGACAGAAAUCCACAACUGUAAUUUUAUUUAAGGACUCGGUUAUUAAAUGUCAAAACAAUCCAUGUGACUCUAAAAACUCAACAGCUUUACAAACUCUAAGAUUAAAUUUUCCACAAGGAUCCAAAACAAGUUGGACUUCUACAUGAGAGCUUUAAUUAUUCUUCAUCUACUUCCUGAAAAGUUUGGUCAAUAAAAAAGACAAAAACUAAUAUUUUCAGCUGAACUAAAGACAGACUUUGCGAUUUUUCUGCUCACAUGUUGUGUUGUUGUAAACUUACUCUUUCAAAUAAAUAUCCUCCUAACCCCCUGGAAA